rnacentral:tRNA from 1 species
GGGCUCGUGGCGGAACUGGUAGACGCAACGGACUUAAAAUCCGUCGCUCGAAAGAGCUUGUGGGUUCAACUCCCACCGGGCCCACCA